CCUACGGGAGGCAGCAGUGGGGAAUUUUGGACAAUGGGCGCAAGCCUGAUCCAGCAAUGCCGCGUGAGUGAAGAAGGCCUUCGGGUUGUAAAGCUCUUUUGUCAGGGAAGAAACGGUGGGAGCUAAUAUCUCCCGCUAAUGACGGUACCUGAAGAAUAAGCACCGGCUAACUACGUGCCAGCAGCCGCGGUAAUACGUAGGGUGCAAGCGUUAAUCGGAAUUACUGGGCGUAAAGCGUGCGCAGGCGGUUUUGUAAGUCUGUCGUGAAAGCCCCGGGCUCAACCUGGGAAUUGCGAUGGAGACUGCAAGGCUUGAAUCUGGCAGAGGGGGGUAGAAUUCCACGUGUAGCAGUGAAAUGCGUAGAGAUGUGGAGGAACACCGAUGGCGAAGGCAGCCCCCUGGGUCAAGAUUGACGCUCAUGCACGAAAGCGUGGGGAGCAAACAGGAUUAGAUACCCUGGUAGUCCACGCCCUAAACGAUGUCUACUAGUUGUCGGGUUUUAAUUAACUUGGUAACGCAGCUAACGCGUGAAGUAGACCGCCUGGGGAUACGGUCGCAAGNUUAAAACUUAAGGAAUUGACGGNNGAGAGNGCGAGACGACGACGAGGGAGGAGG
rnacentral:rRNA from 1 species